rnacentral:misc_RNA from 1 species
CUUUGAUUAGAGAAUAUGAUAUGACAAGUAUCAAUCCUCCAUCUCAACCAAGGUGCAUGGACAGUACUCGGAGCGCAGUGUCAACAGCUUCAACCUUAACCCAAGAUGCUUAAACACAAAAGAGCUUGCAAAGGAUGAAGCCUUUGUGGAAACCUUGAGAGUUAGAUUUCAGUAUUUUGUAUUUCGUCCUGCAACAUAUAUUAGUUUUUUUUUAUUAGUUUUGAAUAGUGGUUGGAUGAACAAAUUGAAUUGGAUUAACUCGGAAAAAAGAAAUUAAAAAA